rnacentral:rRNA from 1 species
AUCUGCGGUGGGUACGGCAGACUAGAGUGCAGUAGGGAGACUGGAAUUCCUGGUGUAGCGGUGAAAUGCGCAGAUAUCAGGAGGAACACCGAUGGCGAAGGCAGGUCUCUGGGCUGUAACUGACGCUGAGGAGCGAAAGCAUGGGGAGGCGAACAGGAUUAGAUACCCUGGUAGUCCAUGCCGUAAACGUUGGGCACUAGGUGUGGGGGACAUUUCCACGUUUUCCGCGCCGUAGCUAACGCAUUAAGUGCCCCGCCUGGGGAGUACGGCCGCAAGGCUAAAACUCAAAGGAAUUGACGGGGGCCCGCACAAGCGGCGGAGCAUGCGGAUUAAUUCGAUGCAACGCGAAGAACCUUACCAAGGCUUGACAUGAACCGGAAUGAUGCAGAGAUGUGUCAGCCACUUGUGGCCGGUUUACAGGUGGUGCAUGGUUGUCGUCAGCUCGUGUCGUGAGAUGUUGGGUUAAGUCCCGCAACGAGCGCAACCCUCGUUCCAUGUUGCCAGCGGGUUAUGCCGGGGACUCAUGGGAGACUGCCGGGGUCAACUCGGAGGAAGGUGGGGACGACGUCAAAUCAUCAUGCCCCUUAUGUCUUGGGCUUCACGCAUGCUACAAUGGCCGGUACAAAGGGUUGCGAUACUGUGAGGUGGAGCUAAUCCCAAAAAGCCGGUCUCAGUUCGGAUUGAGGUCUGCAACUCGACCUCAUGAAGUUGGAGUCGCUAGUAAUCGCAGAUCAGCAACGCUGCGGUGAAUACGUUCCCGGGCCUUGUACACACCGCCCGUCAAGUCACGAAAGUUGGUAACACCCGAAGCCGGUGGCCUAACCCCUUGUGGGAGGGAGCCGUCGAAGG